UACGGAGGGAGCUAGCGUUGUUCGGAAUUACUGGGCGUAAAGCGCACGUAGGCGGCUUGGUAAGUUAGAGGUGAAAGCCUGGAGCUCAACUCCAGAAUUGCCUUUAAGACUGCCGAGCUAGCAGGUGAGAGAGGUGAGUGGAAUUCCGAGUGUAGAGGUGAAAUUCGUAGAUAUUCGGAAGAACACCAGUGGCGAAGGCGGCUCACUGGCUCAUACUGGACGCUGAGGUGCGAAAGCGUGGGGAGCAAACAGG
rnacentral:rRNA from 1 species